GAUGAACGCUGGCGGCGUGCCUAAUACAUGCAAGUCGAGCGAACAGACGAGGAGCUUGCUCCUCUGACGUUAGCGGCGGACGGGUGAGUAACACGUGGAUAACCUACCUAUAAGACUGGGAUAACUUCGGGAAACCGGAGCUAAUACCGGAUAACAUGUUGAACCGCAUGGUUCAACAGUGAAAGACGGUCUUGCUGUCACUUAUAGAUGGAUCCGCGCCGCAUUAGCUAGUUGGUAAGGUAACGGCUUACCAAGGCAACGAUGCGUAGCCGACCUGAGAGGGUGAUCGGCCACACUGGAACUGAGACACGGUCCAGACUCCGACGGGAGGCAGCAGUAGGGAAUCUUCCGCAAUGGGCGAAAGCCUGACGGAGCAACGCCGCGUGAGUGAAGAAGGUCUUCGGAUCGUAAAACUCUGUUAUUAGGGAAGAACAAAUGUGUAAGUAACUAUGCACGUCUUGACGGUACCUAAUCAGAAAGCCACGGCUAACUACGUG
rnacentral:rRNA from 1 species